GUUCGCUGUCAGGUGGGCAGGUGCACUGUGGAAUGAGAGGAAAGAAAGCACCACAGCCUUGCUCUCAGCUGCUGUGUCCCCGAGGAGAUCAAGCAGCUUUGAAUAUGUAUCAUAUUUGUACAGCUCGCCAUGUGGCUUCAGUGACAAAGAGCUUGUCAGGCAGAGACCAAAGGCCAACUGCAUGUUGUAUUAUGAGCCUCUGUCAGUCCACACAGCCAAAAGGUUGGUGCUGAAGGAGCAGCAGUCAUACAGGAAAUUGGAAAUUCUGUACCUGCAUCUUCAAGACCUCCUGGUGGGAGAGGAUGGAAGCUGGUGAUCAGAAACCAGUUUGAAUUCAUUCUUCCAUUGAGAGCUGUUUCUGGAGGUUUGUGCAUACUCCUGGAAAGCAAUUUAGACAGGAAAAUAAUCUAUUUGCUGGCAAAGGCAGUAAAUUUUGUUAUGGAAAUGAAUUUUAAUAACUGCAUUAUCUAUGUUGGCAUUAAAGACAUGAAUCACCAGGAGUUCCCGUUGUGGCUCUGUGGGUUAAGAAUCUGAUGCUAUUUCUGUGAGGAUGCAGGUUCAAUCCCCGGCCUUGCUCAGUGGGUUAAGAAUCCAGUGUUGCCACAAGCUGCAGCGUAGGUCAUAGAUGCCGACUUGGAUCUGGUGUUGCCGUGGCUGUGGUGUAGGCUGAAGCUGCAGCUGUGAUUCGGCCUCUGAGCUGAGAACUUCCGUAUCCCACAGAUCUGACAGUAAAAAGGAGAGAAAAGGAAAUGAUUUGUCAUACAUAUUAAUCUAUCUGCAUAUAUACACAUACCUCAUACAUACAUACACGCACAUAAAUAUACACAUGUCCAUAUAGAUACUAGAUUGACCUCUACAGACUUGGGUUAGGUUGAAUAUAAAAGUAGAAAAAAGUAUCGUGCAGAGAAAUGUGAAUAUAAACCAAGUGGUUAAUUAAUACAACCGACUUUCUGCUUAAAAUGCCCCAUCUUUCUUAUUUUCAGAGGUGUUUGCAGGGUUUUAGAAUGAUCAGUAGAAAGAACUGUGCUUUUCUUGCUGGGGUCACUAUUUUCAAAGUCAAAGAACUCUCCAGGCACCUCGUUUUCUCGUGUACUAAAUCAGAGGGUUAGAAUGGAGUGUUUGACAGAACUAUU
rnacentral:lncRNA from 1 species